UCUCUCAAAGCUUUCUGGCACUUUGCCCCACUUCUAACAGGUUUUGGGGAGGAGCUGGAUCCAAUUGACCUUGGACAAGAGGUUGCAGCUGUGAGUGUCAUGGCUAUGACUUUUUUUGGUUCCACCUAGAAUGGGAAUUUGUCCCAGAUCCACCAGUGGAUGACUCAUUUCCUGGACAUGUAAGUCAACAUAAAUCUCUGGUGUCCGUAAGGAAAAUGCAGUUGUUAGCAAUUAUAGCUUCCAGUGGACUUAAGGAACAGGAGGGAGAAAAAAAGCUCCACCACUGCACCAUUUCCUCUCACCUUAUCAGGAGCUCCUUGCCCUUCAACCUCUGAUAAUUCCUGAGGAUGUAGCAUGGUGGUGAUGCAAGAUGUGGCCCCUUACCCCCCUCCGGCUUCUUCAUGAUCUCAGGGACACUCCUUAGGCCUCAGCCUUGAUUAUUGGCUCAUGGACAGUCAGCUCUCCCAGAGCUUAUCAGAAAAACUGUCUGCUCCCAGAACUUCUGUUGCCUAAUGAGCUCCUGUUUUCGAACAAAUAACUUUGAAAACUUAUUUUUGUCUGAGUAACAGCCUAAGUGGAAUAAUAUUAUUAUUAGACUUCUCAAGUAAAAUUCCAGUCUACUGGCCUGGACUGUAGCCACAGUGGAAAUUUACAGAUGACCUGAGUCAAUCAUCUUCAACCCUGUAAAGAGUGGCACUAAGUGAGACCUGCUGGCAUCCCCUGGGCUGCAGCACAGCUCCCUCUGAGUGGGACAUCUCUGGAGCUCAGCAACUCAGAGGACCAUUGAUGACAGAGCCUGGGCUGAUACCCCCUCUCCUCAAGGUUCAGCUGCUGAGAGAUGCAGAGGCAUCUGCUGUGAGUACUUCCCUGAACUCCUGGGGCAUUUUUCACAGAGAACUCAUUCUGCUUGCAGAAUGAGUGAUGGAGAUUUGCACUGAGAUGCUGUAGUUUCUGGGAUGAAGAUCAGAGUUUUAUGAAGGACCAUCCUUCCUACCCUAAACCAAAAGGAAACAGGUGCUGUGGGUAGGUGGCUUCCCAUGAGAGCAGUUCAAAAUAGUACUGAGAAAAAAUAAGUCUUUGGAGGUUAAAAGAUGGAAUAUAUUACCUCUGCAAAGACAGCUACAAGGCUUCUACGAACAGUUAUAUGUGUGUAGUUCAGCUGUGAUUUGUAAAUGUAACAAAAAAUGAGCAGUUAUGUUUUUGCCAAUGUGUAAACUGGAUACUCUGAUAGUCCUUCUUUGUCUGUGAACAGACAGUAUUUAAGCUGAGAGAAGAAAAGUGCUUGUGGAUACCCUGUAUGAGCACUGACAGAUCAUUCAAAUGCACUGCACAGAAGCACCUGGAUGUGGGACCAGGCGUUGAACUGGCCCCCAAGGGGUUCUGUAGGCAGCUAAAGUCAGUAUAGUAGAGAAUAACAUCAAGGAACUCAACGCUUUUGCCUGAGAGCAGUUUCAGCUAAUUAGAGCAUAUGGAUAUUUUCCCUUUAUAAUGAUCUUGCUUAAGUAAAAGGCAAGGAGUAUUUAAAGGACUAUUAGACUCUGAUUUUAUAUUCACAACCUACUUGAGGGAAAGAUAGCUAGAGAAUUUUACAAUUCAGUCUAACACUGAAGACUGCAGACAGAAAAGAACAGGGGAUCCAUCCAGCCAUCCACUUCCCCUUGUUGCAGCAUAAGGCUUCCUCACAGUUCAUAUUUUGGUGCUUUGUUACAAAAUUACACAGUCAGUUUCAGGUGUCCUGUCCAUUGGCACCUGGCAAACCACAGCACUGUUCUCCUAUAGACACCUCCCUUGCUGCGAGGAAUGGGUCGUGCUGGUCACCUGUCAGCCACAUUGCUCAGGUGGCACCUCUUCUUGUGCUCCAAGUCCUUCACCUUCCAUCCCUAAGAGUUACAUCCUCAGACACUUCCAAAGUGUUAUCAUGACUCUGUAGCUAUUUUUAUCUUGACACUAUAUACCUUGAACUUGGGAAUUAUUUU